GUCAGCACCCCGCUCUAAAGAGACGGGGCAUCAUGCUUCUCUUUUUAGGUAGCUAGUACCCGCCUAAGUCCCUUGAGGGCUACGUUAUCGGCAAGAGUUAACGUUCCGACCCGGAGAUGCGUGGCCAGUCUCCGGCUCUAGAA
rnacentral:sRNA from 16 species